rnacentral:rRNA from 1 species
UUUCGGGAGCUUGUACAGGUGCUGCAUGGCUGUCGUCAGCUCGUGUCGUGAGAUGUUCGGUUAAGUCCGCUAACGAGCGCAACCCUCGCUGUGUGUUACAAGUGUCACACGGAACUGCCGGUCAUAAACCGGAGGAAGGUGGGGAUGACGUCAAGUCAGCAUGGCCUUUAUAUCCUGGGCUACACACACGCUACAAUGGGAAGGGACAAUAGGUUGCGAAGCCGCGAGGUGGGGCCAAUCCAGCAAAACUUCCCUCAGUUCAGAUUGCAGGCUGCAACUCGCCUGCAUGAAGUUGGAGUUGCUAGUAAACGCAGGUCAGCCAUACUGCGUUGAAUACGUUCCCGGGGCUU